CGGCGGACGGGUGAGUAACGCGUGGGUAACCUGCCUUAUACAGGGGGAUAACAGUUAGAAAUGACUGCUAAUACCGCAUAAGCGCACAGUACCGCAUGGUAGUGUGUGAAAAACUCCGGUGGUAUAAGAUGGACCCGCGUCUGAUUAGCCAGUCGGCGGGGUAACGGCCCACCAAAGCGACGAUCAGUAGCCGACCUGAGAGGGUGACCGGCCACAUUGGGACUGAGACACGGCCCAAACUCCUACGGGAGGCAGCAG
rnacentral:rRNA from 1 species